CCCUUAGAUGUCCGGGGCUGCACGCGCGCUACACUGAAGGAAUCAGCGUGCUAAAACCAUUGUCGAAAGGCAUUGGUAAACCCAUUAAAAUCCUACGUGAUUGGGAUCGGGAAUUGCAAUUAUUUCCCUUGAACGAGGAAUUCCCAGUAAGUGUGGGUCAUAAGCUCGCGUUGAUUACGUCCCUGCCCUUUGUACACACCGCCCGUCGCUGCCCGGGACUGAGCCGUUUCGAGAAAAGCGGGGACUGCUGCUGUCGAGGCUUUCGGGCCUUGGCUUCGGUGGAAACCGCUUUAAUCGCAGUGGCUUGAACCGGGCAAAAGUCGUAACA
rnacentral:rRNA from 1 species